rnacentral:rRNA from 1 species
CCUACGGGAGGCAGCAGUGGGGAAUAUUGCACAAUGGGGGAAACCCUGAUGCAGCGACGCCGCGUGAGUGAAGAAGUAAUUCGUUACGUAAAGCUCUAUCAGCAGGGAAGAAAUACUGACCUUACGGUCAGCAGACGGUACCUUAGUAAGAAGCCCCGGCUAACUACGUGCCAGCAGCCGCGGUAAUACGGAGGGGGCAAGCGUUAUCCGGAUUUACUGGGUGUAAAGGGAGCGUUGACGGUGCGCCAAGUCUGGAGGGAAAUGCCGCAGCUUAACUGCGGAACUGCUGUGGAAACUGGCGAUCUAGAGUGCGGGAGGGGUAAGCGGAAUGCGUAGUGUAGCGGUGAAAUGCGGAGAUAUUAGGAGGAACACCGAUGGCGAAGGCGGCUUACUGGACCGUAACUGACGUUGAGGCUCGAAAGCGUGGGGAGCAAACAGGAUUAGAUACCCCAGUAGUC